GAAGUCCAAAUUUUCCCAUGGAUUCCGCGCCACUUUGCGACUACUAUCUAACAGAGGGGUGGUACAGUGCCCCUUCCUAUUUGAUGCCGUCAUCACCACCUGGACUUACGGCUUGUGGUACUCUUUAUCCGUACUGGAUGAAAGGAUUACUGCCUAGUACUGUUGGGAAUGAGACAGAUGUCGAAAUUUGUGGUGUAGGAUUCUCAUCAACUUGCCAAAAGAGUUUUAACAUCAGAGUGAAGAAGUGUAACAAUUUUUUUGUUUACAAACUUAAGUCUUUGGAUUCAUGCAAUUCGGCGUACUGCUUCG